ACUCCUACGGGAGGCAGCAGUGGGGAAUAUUGCACAAUGGGCGCAAGCCUGAUGCAGCCAUGCCGCGUGUGUGAAGAAGGCCUUCGGUUGUAAAGCACUUUCAGUCGUGAGGAAGGUGGUAGUGUUAAUAGCACUAUCAUUUGACGUUAGCGACAGAAGAAGCACCGGCUAACUCCGUGCCAGCAGCCGCGGUAAUACGGAGGGGUGCGAGCGUUAAUCGGAAUUACUGGGCGUAAAGCGCAUGCAGGUGGUUUGUUAAGUCAGGAUGUGAAAGCCCGGGGCUCAACCUCGGAAUAGCAUUUGAAACUGGCAGACUAGAGUACUGUAGAGGGGGUAGAAUUUCAGGUGUAGCGGUGAAAUGCGUAGAGAUCUGAAGGAAUACCGGUGGCGAAGGCGGCCCCCUGGACAGAUACUGACACUCAGAUGCGAAAGCGUGGGGAGCAAACGAGGAUUAGAUACCCUGGUAGACUGUCA
rnacentral:rRNA from 1 species